UGAUGAUGAGUUUAAAACUUGGGUUGCUACGUAUCGGCAAGAAAUAUGGAAAUGGCAAUGUUGAACUGGCUUUGUUCAAGGUAAUUCCAACACUACUUCACAGAUUAAGCCUCCUUCUUUUUGUUUAAAACUUCCAAAUCUUCUAAUUUAUCAUGUUUUAUUUCUCAUGUUACAAAUUUUUUUUUUUAAAAAAUCUAACAAAACUAGUUUACCAAGCUAACCUAUGUUAAGUCAAUUUUAUUCAUAUAAAUGAUUAACUAUAAGACUUAAUCAAUUAGGAUAAAAAAAAGUUGAUUGUUUUUUUCGUUUUUUAUAAUCAGAAGGGAUGAAUUGCUCACUCUACCAAUUUCUCCUUUGCAAUAAUAGUUACAAUUAACAAAUACGUCAAUAUAAUAUUUCGAAAUAGAUUUAGCGAAUAAAAAUAUUUAAUAAAAUAUUAUGAAAGAUAUUAAGGUCUAUUUGUGGCGGGCUAGUGGGUUGGGUUGGUGCUGCCAGAUGGGAAAUAGGUUAGAGGACAUCGGGGUAUAAUUGCUAUUUUAACACCUCGAAAAAACAACAUAAUAUUUUUAACUUUAACCUCUUAAAAUUUUAUAAUUUUAUCUUUAUCUCCUAAAGGAAAAUUCUUGGCUCCAUCCUUAUUAUUAGCACCCCUAAAAUGGAAACUUUUCAUUUAGGCUCCUUAAAAUUUUAUUUGUAAUGAUAAAAUUAUGCUUUGCUCCCCUAAAAUAAUAAAAAUUUAAUUUAAUCUUUUAAAAUUUAUAAAAGUAUAAUUUAAUUUCAACCCCUAAAAAUUUUUCUAACUUCACUCAUAUUUAUUAAUUCUCUAAAAAAAAUAUUAUAUUUAAACACCAGGUCGUUUUAUUCAUUUAUCUAGUGUUUGGGUUGAGCCUCUAUUGUUGUGGACUGACCAAAUGAAAUGUGUACAAUUAUUAUUAUUUUUAAAAAUAAUCCACACAUGGGUUAAGGGAAGGCAUAUGUAAAUACAAAAAAUGAAAAGAACAUAACAUUCGAGUCAUAAAUGAGGUGAAAGUGUGAGAAUUCAGCUUUUAGCAUGGGAAUGACCGAUCCUUUCCCCUUAAUACCUGUCCCAUCAUUGGCAUAAUCACUUAAUACUCCAACCACUUACUUAUUUUUUCAUUUUUUUAUUUUUAAAUUUAAAAUUUUUUAUUAAAUCACCUCGAGAUAAAUGAAAAAAAAUAAAUAUUUGUUAAUUUUACUGACGUAAUAUACAAGUGGAUGACAUGUUAAUAUUUAAUUAAUUUUUUAAAUAUUAAAAAUGUUUAAAAUAUAUUUUAUAAUUCUUUUUAAUGUUAACUCACAUAACAAUUGACAUGCACUUCAUAUUUUUUUUAAUUUUUAUAAAUUUUAAAUAUAUUUGUUGAUUUAAAAAAUAAAAUAAAUAGUGUCAUAUCAGUACAAAGUACACAUGUAAUGUCAUGCGGAUUGCCAUGCAAACAUCGUUAAAAAACAAUAUUUUAGUCAACAUUUUUAUUAGAAAAAAACACAUGGACCCCUUUUAAGAGAUUAAUAGUUAAAUUUAGCUCAAAAUAAAAUAAAAAUUAAAUUGAUAAAAAUAUAAAAAUAUUGAUGCUAGAAAAUCAUCUAACGGAUUUAUCAUUGGGAGGGUGGUUUGAGGUUUAGGGCUAAGAAAAUGAUCCUUUCUGGGUUGGGUUGUAGGAUAGUUGAUAUAUAAAGUAUCCUCCUAGGCCCAAUUGUUUUGAAUUAAAUAGAAAGCAUCUAAGUGUGAAAUUGAUGUCUAGGAGUAGGAGCUGGGCACCAUUGACAAAGCACCUCUCAACCAGUCAACAUUCUAGGCUUUAAUCAGCACAUCCCCAGUCCAAUCUAAUUGAUACACCUGAAGUUUAGUUUUUAGUCCUAUAAUUUCAAUGCCUAUGAAACCUUUGCCACUGCUUUAAACAUAUUUCAUCAUAAUCUUCUUUUUUCGAAAUCAACCAAUUCUCUAACCACUUCAUCUUCAUUAUCGGUGACCCUAAGACCCGAGUUUUCCCGAGCUCCCAUGCCUCCCAUACUUUCUUUUUCCGAUCAAGAAGGCCAGAAUCAGAUAAAGAGUUGUUUGUAUUUUGACCCCCAUGACGAUCAAGGUUUUGGAAAUUUAUUUUUACAUUUCCUACCGCUUCCAUUUUUUUCUUAAAUCCGAGCUCCGCAGUUCUUCAUUUCUCAGUCUCAAACAAAGAUUUAACUUUUCUUGAUUUGGAUAUUUUUUCCUGUACUAUAUACGCACAUAGAGAGACAAUAUACAAGGAUGGAAGAGAUAGAUGAGAAACCCCUUUUGCGUGUAUUGUCUAAUUAGGGAUGACUGGAAUUUUUGAAAAGUGACUGUGAAAUGGGAUAAUUUUUUUUUAAAUAGGUAUGGAGCGGUCUGUUUGUCCCAUCCUAUCCUACUACAUAAAUUAUCAUUUUAUUCUUGUAUAUAUAUCAUUAUUAUAAGAAUAAAAUUGUAAAAAUGUGUUAUAAAAAAUUCAUAUGUUUUAUAUUAAAUAUUUUAGAAUAACUAUGUUUAAAUAUUUACUUACUUUUAAAAAAAUUGAAAUGCUAAAGUUAACUCGAAAAAAUUAAACCGGGGCGGGUUGAGAGGGGUUUAGAUGCAUCCAACAUUCAUGGAAUUAGUAGGUGUUUUCAAGAGUACAUACCAAUCGUAGAGUGAAGUGGUUGGUAGGGCAAAGCAUACCGACGGUGAAGUGGUGGUGAAUUUGGUAACAUUUGCUCUCCGUACCCCGCUUCAUUAUAAGAGGAUUUGAUAUCUGUUAGAUCUUAGGACCUUACGCCCAAUGAAGCCGUGACAAUGUUGACAAAAAUUUAGAUCUUAGGACCUUACGCCCAAUGAAGCCGUGACAAUGUUGACAAAAAUUUAGAUCUUAGGACCUUACGCCCAAAUUUGAGUCUCACAUUAUGAAAAUUAUAUUGGUGUAAAUGAUAUAGUUGAAUAAGUUUAUUAUAAGAGGAGUUGUAUGCAGGUAAGCAAAGACAAUAGAUACAAAGGUUGAUGAAGAAAAUGAUUUUCGUAAUACAAAAGUGCAAUAUUAUUUCAUUUUGUAUAAUUAAGGUAUUCUUCAUGUUUGUAGCUUCAUCUCGUGAUAAUAUUAUCUCUAAGGUUUAAAUUGGAAUUUUUUUCAGAAGUGCAAUGUGUUUUAUCACUGCAUCAACACUUGUCGAUAAAUGCAUAUUUUUUGAAAGAAAGAACUUUUAUAAGUAUAAUGCUUUUUUCAUGCACAUGAUGAGACUGGAGAUCCACACAUACAAUUGUGCAUGAUAAAACUUGAACUUAUGUAGUCAAAACUCAAAAUCUCAACUAACAAUACAAAAUGCAAUUUAUUUUAAAUGCACUAACAAUGGAUUGUUCUUGGCAUGGUUCUGAGCUUUCUGGCCUUUUUUGUUGGCUCUGAAUCUCUCGAUUUUAUCAUGCUUUGUGUUCUUGCAUGAUUUUGUCUUUGUUUUGAUUGCUUUUGCUUGUGAACUCUUUAUCACUGCUUGAGUGUAGGUUGCUUCUCCCUUUUAAUAAAUUUACGUGAUUGAGGAAAAAAAUGGAUUACAUUUCCCUUUCAGGGCUUAAGCGAUACCAAAGUUACUUAAGAGGGAAAGGAUUUUUAUUAGAUGUGAUUCCAAUGGAAGGUGUUAAGAAUUAGUGUUAGUGGUUGUUAGGGUGUUCAUGGGAUAUGCCAAUAUGAUUUUAGAUAGAACGGGGGUAAAAAGAAAAAGACAACAUAGGGGGCCAUGUAAGAAAAUGCAGCUAAUGAUAACAAAACCAUAAAAGAAAAAACAAAAAAGGUCUUGCACUGAUUGGAAGGUUGUAGACUUUGAUUGCCUAUCGAGGUUUCGAGAUACCUCGGUAAGGUUGGGAUUGAGUGGUUGACCACUUUUUAUAGAUUUGAUUAAGUAAAAAAAUUGUUGUUUAUUGAAUGGAGGAGAAAUAGAUUCAAGAUUUGAUUAAAGACUGACUAUGCCACUUGUGAAAAAUCAAUUUGGUUUCGUGCUAGGAAAUCCACCAUAUGGUAGCAUUUCUUGGAGACAAUGAUUUAUUUAGGAAGAGAGGAAGCCGACAGGGAUGGUGAGUGUGGCGAAUUAAAUUUUGGGUUAAUACAACAUUUAAAAUUUGUAGAGAUUUAAUGAUUUUGUUUUGAGAUGUUUAAUUAUAUGACAGAUGCUAAUUAUAUGAUUGAGAUGGUAUGAUUUAAGGAAAAAAUUAUCCUGACUUAACCUUAAGAGGAAUUAUUUUAUGGACCCUUUCCACCACAUUAUUCAUAAUCUAUUUUCAAUUACUCAAUGAUAUUUUAAUAAUUUUUCUCAUGUCAUUGAUUUAUAAUUUUGAUAAUUUUUUGCCAUGAACUUUAAACUUUGAACUCUAAACUCCGAACCGAAUUCAAAGCUCAGUGUAAAAAAGAUUACCAAAAUUAUAUAUUAAUGACAUGCAAAAAAUACUAAAAUGUCAUUAAAUAAUUGAAAAUGGACCAUAAAUACUAUGGUGGAAAAUGUAAUUAAAAAGUGCAUGAUUUAAGGAAAAAAAUCAUGUUGACUUAACCACAAUUAGAGUGAUUCAAAAUUUAGGGUUGAAACCUUUUGUCAUUCAUUUCCCUCCCCAGAUUUGUAAUAAGAAAAAGGAGAAAAAAAAUCAUAAUAUUAAAUUUAUAUGAUAGCAAAAUACUUUAGACUUUGAACGAAAGCUUUGCUGUAAACACGAAUGUUGGAUUAACAUGAUGUUGACAUAUGCAAGGAAAGUCAUAAUAGGUUGGUUCAAUUGAUAGAGCAUCGAUUAACAUAAUGGCAAAAAUCAAAGUUGUCUUAAUUAAUAAGUGAUGUACACUUAUUGCCAAUAUGCAAAUGUUGCAUUUGGUCACAUGGGGUGUAUUUGUUAGAAACAUGGAUCUAAUUAAUGUUGCACAAUGGUUGAAGAGAAGACCAAAAAAGCACAUGGUUGGAGAUGAUGUCUUUGCAUCAAAUUCACAUUUUCUGAGGGUGUGGUUUUGGACUUUUGCUGAAAUAUGCUUUUAAUUUGUACUUAGAAAGAGAUUGACAUUGGUGCAUCAAGUUAACUAAGAAUAUUAUGCAAUAAAUUUAUAAAAAUCAAUAUAAAAAGUAAAUUUGAUUAUGAAUAUAGUGGUAAAAUUGAGAUUAUGAAAAUCAUUAAAUUUUGGGUUUAAAUCUCAUCAUAUAUAUAUUUUCUUGGUUUUAUAUAAAAAUUUAAAAAGGAAAAAUAAUUUUAAAAUAGUAUUUAUUACUAUGUAAAAACAAUGAAUUUUUGUUAAUUUCACAAAAUACUCAAUUGACGGGUGGCAUUAGUCCAAUCUAAAUAUUUUCUUUGAAUAUAAGUGGAGUGGUAAUAAAUUUGUAUUUUAAUAAUUUUGAACACUAUUAAACGCGUACUUAAUCUUUGAAUUUAUAAUUGUUUUACUUAUAGAUGAUAUAAAAAUAUGAAAAAGACAAAAGUAUUACUAAUAAAUAGUUGGGUGUAAUGAAAAAUCAUAUUAUACUCCUAGAAAGAAAAAUCAAGUUUGUAAGCUAUAAAAUCAUAAUUGUUGUUAAUUUUUACAAGAGUUUUACCUUUUGAUUGGUCUGGUCGGUGACUCACCCUUUGGGGUUUCUUCUCCACUAUCACAAUUGCUUCAGCCACUCCACAUCUUUUUCUUCCAUUGGUGCUUUUACAGCCUCCACUUCAUUUCUUUUAUCUGUCUAUCUCUUAGGGUUUUCUUUUUCGCAAGAAGUGCUCCUAAUGAUUCAGAUCUUACGGCAUGUUCUAGGUUUUAGGGUCUUUCAGGUUUUUUUUUUUAAACUAGGGUUUGCUAAAGGAUCUCUCUCACACAAACAACACCCAGAACUUUGGGGUGUAUAAAAUGCCAGAUUUUGAAUGUAUAUAUAUGCCCAAAAAAUUCAACCUGUCAUCUCAAAAUCUUAGGGUUUUUUCUUUCUUUCUUGAUUUGUGCUUUUAAGUUACAGAUUUGGGAAUAGCAGUUUUAGGGUUUGAAGGGUUUUCCAGUGUAUAUCUUCCCUCUCCAUCAUUUUGGGCAAAGUUGUACAAAUUUAAGCAGACCUGUAAGAACCCUAACUAGAAGUGAUGCCCACAUACCUAUUUAGCAAGAAGAACUUAAUGUGGGUGGUCCAAGUGAAAAUGGUGGAUUUGAGGACAAGUUCAGAAAACUUUUAUGGGGUGAAGAUGGUAAAAAAGAAAAUGCAAAACAAAACAAGGAUCAAUGGCUUUAGGGUCAAAAGUACUAUUGCUGUUUUUCCUUCUUUUUUUUUCAGUCAGAGAACACUUAUUCAUCUUCACAUGGGUGUGGAUAGGUGGAUACCAGUUCAGGUCUGUAAGGCAGAUUAUUCACUCUCAUUUUAAUUUUAACCUUUAGAUUCACCCAUUGGCCUUUUGGAUGUAAAAAAGAAAACGGAAACUUUUUUUUUUUUUCUCAAAUUGUAUAUAGUCUGUAGGGCAUAUAUAGGCUAAGCAGACAAUGCUAUUUAACAAAUAUAUAAUCAUGUAUAAGUCACUCACAGUCACAGACAUGAAAGGAUGAGGAGUUAAAUAAAAGGAUGAACGGGUAACAAAAUUUGCAAGUAGUUGAGUUUAUAGAUAAUAAAACGGAUGCAAAAGAUACCGUGACUUCAGGGUUGCUAAUGCAAUUGCUAGCAAUGCGAUGUAGUGUCUAAUUUUCGGCUUAAGUUGGAAUUUGAGGCAGUAAUUGCAUGGUUUUUUUAAAAUAGGAUUAGACUGGUCGAUUGGGUCGAGGAUGAGUAAAUUCAAUUGUUCAUGUAAACGAAAGAGGAUGAAUCCGUUAAUUACUUUGUUUUACUUAUUCUUUUAAAAAGUUUCAAAAUAUUGGACGGUCAUAUUUAGUGAACCAAAUCAUCAAUAGUCGCUACAACUUAGUUUCGAGUUUUUGGUAUGUCAUAUAUCUUAAUUCCUAUGCAAAAAUAUGGAUGCAAUAUGUAUUAUUAUAAAAUAAUCAUAUAAAAUAUUAAAAACAAAUCGAUAAUUUAGUGUUAAAUAAUUCAUUAUACAACAAUCAAUCUAAAGAAAGCCUAACAUGUACUUGUAUAUUCAAAAAGAUAAUAAUUUUAUCCAUAUACAUUUUUUUUAAAAAAAAUUACUAAGCUGACAAUCCAUAUGCAUAUUUAAGUAUGUAUUAAAUAUAAAUAUGAAAUUCAAAUAUUUAAAAAAUAAUAAAAAAAAGAAUUGAAUGGAAUAACUUGUACAUUUAAUUUUAGCCUAUUAAUUUGUAGUUUGAAUUCUCUAUAUAUUUCAAAUUUUAUCAUUGCUAAAGGAAAUGGUCAAUCAAUGUUUUGCUCUAAUAUAAAAUACAUAUGUUACUCAUGUUUAAAAUGAUACUGAUAUAAGCAGAUCGAGUUUUAGCUUAAUUGUCAUUGUUGCUAUUACAACAACUAGGAGGAUAUAAGUUUGAGUGUGACACACUUUUCUUUUUAUUUAAGGGUUGAAGGAUUUAGAUUUUUAUUUUCCAAUUUUAUUAUUUAAAAAUUACAUAAAAAUUUUAGAUUUUAAAUCAAAUGUAUAUUUAUACAAAAAUAAAAAAAGUUGAACCAAAAAAUUCAAAUUUUUUUAUUAAAAAUAAAAUAUAAAAAACCUGAGGUUUUUUCUUUCUAAUUUUCAACAACUUUUUUCGAUUCUUGACUUCUUAUUUCUUAUUGGAUCAAAAUAAUCCAAGUUAUCUCCAAUUAUAUGUUACCAAUUUAACAGAUUAAAAUUUCAAUUCUCAAUUCAACUAAUUCUAUCCGAUUCUGACAACAUUCCUUAUCCUUAAAAUUUUAUACACGUAUGACUAAAAGAAAAAAAGUAAGCUAGAGCACGAUUUUUUUCAUGUAUGGAAUACCUAUUCCUUAUCUUUUAUUUUUGCCCCUCUUCUCAUUUUCAAUCAUGAGAUAUGACAACAGCCCCUUUCCCUAAAUAUUUUUCCUAUUAUUUUCUCUAAGGUACCCUUUGUUUCCACAUGUUUUGCUUCAUUGUAGGGGAGAACUUUUGUCGUAAUGUAGCAUAUCAAUGGUGAGUUUUAUUCAAUAUAUGAUCAAUUUAGUGCAAGAUGCCCCUACCAUUUGGUGCUUUAUUGCUUUUCUAAAUACCUAGUGUUUUUUGGGAACAAUUUUUAUCCUAAUUGUAACACCCUUUAACCCUAAAUCGUCGUCGGAACAGGGUUACAAAGCAUUACCGGACAUAUCGGAUAACUUAUAACUAAUUCACAAGUAAAUAACAUACAUAGCGUACUUUAAUCAAUACAAUACCUAGAUACAUGCCACAUUAUCAAAAGAAAGGUACAUCACUAAAAUUUCUCUGAGGUCAGGAUUGCUCUGGAUGCUUGACCGGUCACUGGCUUUCUACUAACCUGCGCAUGAAAACAACCGUACGCUGAGUAUGGGUAUACUCAGUGGUAUUACCAUAAUUCAAAUUUAUAACAUUAAUCGAUAAAUUAUUACAUUUUUAUUUUAUGUCUACAAUUAUUCAUUAAUUAUCUCAUACUUUAAAUCAACUUGAUCAUUAAUAACAAUAAGCAAUAUUUCACUAUGUCAAUUUCAUUGGAUUUUUAACAUCUCAUUCCAAUAGUUCAUUUCAAUUCAUAUACAAUUCAUUCAAUUUAUCACUAUAUUCAAUAUCAAUUCUAUUGCAAUUUGUACUCACUAAUAUCAUAUAACAAAAAUUUACUCUUCAUCACAUCAUGAACUUUGGGUUCAUAUCUUCAAAUCUCAUAUCUCAAUUUCCAAUUCACAUAUCAAUUCACAAUUUCACUUUCUCAUUUCUUUCCAUAGCUCGAUUUCCAAUUCACAUAUCAAUUCACGAUUUCACUUUCUUAUUUCUUCCAUAGCUCAAUCAAUUACACUUAUUCAAAAGUUCUCAUUUCAAUUAUUUACCCCUAUUAACAAGACUCAGACCUUGACGGAUACAUGGAUUCAACCAAACGCACCAAAAUAUCCAACCUAACACACCCGGAAUAAUAUAAAUCCUCCUUAACACACCAGUAUAUCAUAUCCUCCCAAACACACCAAUAAGGCAUUAGAUGCCUCUUCGGAUAAACCGAAGCAUAUAUUAACAGAAUCAUCUUCUCGGCCGAACUACAAAUCUCCUCAUCACAUCACAAAUCCUAUGGCAUGACAUUUGUAUCCAAUCUAGUCCGAUAAAUUAAUAGGGUAUUAUUUUACUUUUCCAAUUUCGAAUUCAUUUCCACAACAAUUUCAAAUAUUCAAUCAAUUCAAAACAUCUAUUAUUUCAAUUUACAAACAAUUCAAUAUCAUUUAAUUCAAUAUCGAUAUUCACCUUAUUUUUAUUUAUUAAACAUAUUAUUCAAAAUUCAACAAUUACUAUUAAUAAAUUCAAUACCAAUACGUAUUUAUCAUUCAAUUCAAUCAUGAUACUUACCUCAAUUUUCUUAUCAAGUGUAUGAAUUUAAAAUUUAACAAUUAAUAAUUAAAUUCGAAUUAUGGUAAUACUAACCGAAAUUUUCUCGAAUCACUCCUUGUCCACCUUCUCCUUUCCUCUCUCGGACAAUGACUCUUACACGACAUUAGCUACGUAAUUAAAUAAAUAAAAAUAAUUAAUACACAAUUUCAUCAAAAUAUUUUCAUUUAUACCUAAACUUUACCUAAAUUCUAAUUUAAUCCCUUAUCAAUACUAAUUUUAUUUUCCCAAUCUAACUCCAUAUUCUCUUAAUUCUUACUAUAAACUCAUUUUAACUCUUCAUUUUUACCAUAAAUCCCUAAUUUCAAAAUUCUCUCAAUUUAGUCCCUAUUAAUUCAAAACUUAUGUUUUAUUUUACAAAUCAACCUUUUACUAACUUCUAACUUGAAAUCCAAUCAAUUUAAUCCCUAAUUCUUCAAUUUAUUCAACAUAAACAAUAUCUAAAAAAUUACUAACUUUCAAAAUUUCAACAUCAAUCAAAUAGUAUUUUGUUCUAGGAUUCUAAAAAUAUCAAAAUUACAAAAAAAAGAGAGACUAAAUUAACUUACCAAUUAAAUUUGGAACUUUCGAAACCCCUUAAGGCGUGUUCUCUUUCUUUUUCUUCUUUCUCUUUUUCUUUCUCAAUUUUCGUUUUGCUUCUCUGUUUCUAUAUAUAUAUAUAUAUAUAAAAACAUACUUAUUAAUUAAGUAAAUAUAAUAUAAUAUAUAUUUUAAACUAAAAAUAUCUUACAUUUUUCAAUGUUAAGCAGCCUCAACUUUAAGCAAUGGCAUAAUUGCUUCUUUGAUCCCUUUAAUUUUUCUUAAUCUAUAAUUAAACUUUUAUCUUUAUUACAAUUUAAUUUUUUUUAUAAUUAACCUCAAUUUAGACAAAUUCACUUAAUUAAAACCUAACUAACUACACAACUAACUUCGUAAUAUUUAUAAUAAAUAUUUACAAGUUCGAUUUAUCGGAACGAAGUCCCGAGAAUACUUUUUUUUCAAUUCGAUCCUUUUUAAUCAAUUAACUAUCGGAACAUUAAAAUUUAUUAACGAAACUUUAAUACUACCCUAAUGACACUCCAUAAAUAUUUUUAAAAAUAUUUACGGCUCAGUUUAUAAUAUCGAGGUCUCGAUACCUCGUUUUUGACCCAAUUUACCUAAUAAUUUCUUUUAAAUCACAAAAUUCAUUAACUUUUUGAAAUAUUUCUAAAAUCACGCUUAACUUAUAAUUAUUAAUUAAUAAUUUUUCUAAAUUUUUUAUCGGAUUUAGUGAUCUCAAAUCAUUGUUCUGACACUACUGAAAAUUGUGUUGUUACACUAAUCAUCCAUGGGAGGGUGGGGGGAACUUAUUUAUAAUUUAUGUGGGGGUAUAUUAAGAGAGUUUUUUUUUUUUUUGAAAGAAAGAGAAUAAUGAUUGUAUGAAAUAGGGAUAAGCCUCAAAAUUAUAUAUGAAUUUUGAUUUAAUGUGUAAUUUUAUAUAUGAAUUUUGAUUUUGUGUAAUUUCAUACACAAAAUUUUAAUUUGAUCUAAUUCUUAGAAAUUAUUAACACAAUUAUUGAUAUAAUGCCAUUUUAUGUUUAUAUAUUAUAUACACAAAUAAUUAUAUUUAUCCAAUAUAAAAAUAAAUGUAUAUAAUUGAACCAAAAUUAAAGUUUCAUUUAUACAUUUGAACCACAAUAAAAAUUCCAUAUGUAUAAUUUAACCAAAUUAAAGUUCAUGUAUCAAAUUACACAUUGAAUAAAAGUUCAUGCACAAUUUUAAGAUUUGUUCCUAUGAAAUAGGGUGUAUUACUUUCAUUCAAAUCGUAUUAUGUGUAAUAAUUAAUUAUGAAAAUAAUUUACUAGUGAUUUUUAUAAUAAAUAAUUGGUUAAAAGUGAUAAACAAUCAGUUCACUCUUUAGCAAUAACUUACUUUAACAACAUUUUAUUAUAACAAUUAAGUUUGUUGUAAAACCAAUUUUUUAUGUUUUCUUUUUUACUUUCUAUAACAACUUUCCGUCUAUAUCAACAAACGUCUUAAUAUUUAAAGUGCAUUGUUUCCUAAAUUAAUUGUCUAUAAUAGUCAAUUACCCCAAAUUUUAAUAAAAUUAAUUCCAUUCCUAAGUGAAAUAAAAAUAAUAAAUUUUAAUUAAGAUAUUAUUUAAAUUUUAUAUAAAAAUAUAUUAAUUUUACUUUAUUAGGAAAAAAUAAUAUUUAAUAAAUAAAAUUACAUUUAUAAAUUCCAUUAAUUAAUAUUAUUAUAAUUUAAAUCAUUUACAAAGAUUUUAAUCCUGCCACAUGUAGAUUUUAUCCAUUAUUGUGAAGGUUGACCAAUUAAAUUCAACGUUUAUAUCAUUAUUAUUAUUUGAAUUUAAUUUAUUUAAAUUGAUUUGAUGCAUAAAAAAUUAUAUACACUAUCAUAAAAUUGACUCAAUUUCCAAAAAUGAUUUUUUAAAAAAAUAAAAAAAUGGGUGGACUAUUUUGGUAAGUGUAAAGCUUUUGUUAUUAGCUUUUAAUUUCCCAUCGAAUAGUCAAGUGAUUGCUUUUGUCAUUUAAAUGAAAAAUUCUUCUUGUUAUGAUGUAUGCAUUUUCCAAAUCAUUUAUUUCUCUUCGGCAUUUAUUACCAGUUAUGACAUUUCUGGUAUGUGUCAGUAGACAGGUUUUAUUAAUUAAUAAUAAUUAUUGUUAAUAAAAUCAGGUUGGGGUCAAAAAAUCUACUUGUAUUUAAUAAUUUUCCCCUAUUUUAUUGAAUUUAAUAAAUAAAGAAAUUAAUUUAUCAAAUUAAUAAUUUUUCUAUUAAUUAUUCAAUUCAAUAUUUAUAAUUUCUCAUAAUAUAAAUAUAAAAAUAUCUCUACUUUCCAGAAUUACGCAUGUUUCAUAGGUUUUGUUUAGGGUAAUAAUUACACAUUGUUGUAAUUGUAAAGAAUUUUACUUUUAUUUGACUAAUAAACUAUAAUUAUAUUGUAAUUCUCUAUAUCAUGUUUAAUAGUAUAAAUUGUAAUUUUAAAGUUAUAUAUUUUUAAAUUCUUAAAAAUAAUAUUAAUUAUACAAAAAAAAACUAUUAAUAAUACUUGAAAAAACAAAUUCUCUAAACAAGUAACAAUAUUUAAAAUCAAUCAUUGUAUAUAUUAUGUAAGUCCAAGAAAACAUUAACAAUACAAUUACUAAUAAAAUUUUAUCUAAUUACGCUGGCAUUCUAUAUUUGUUGGUCUAUUCCGUCUAUAAUAUUUAAUAUAUACUCAUUAUCAUCAUCGAUUGGUUAUAAUUAAUUAAUAAUAAAUAUUAUGUAAUUUAGUUAAAUAUUUAGUAAGUCAAAAUGUAUGAGAAAUUAUCUCUCGUGUAAACAAGAUUAAUGAAAUAACAUAUAAUUACAUUUAAAAAUAAAAUAUAUGUCAAAUAAUAAAAAUAAUAUUAUUGUAUAAAAAUAAAUUUUAAAACUUAAAUAGUGUAUGUGUAUAUUUGAAAAGUGCAAUUGAUUUUAAAUUUAAUUACUCACAUAAUUACUUAAAUCCUCUUCCUUCCUUAAGAAUUAAAAAUUGUUAUCAGAACACUUCAACUACAUUCAAUUUAGUAGUACUCACUAAUUACAAUAAUUAUCCAAAUAUAUCGCACAUAUGUAAUUAUAAUCAACUACACCAAAAAUUCUAUUUUUAGGUUACUUUUCAAAAUAUUUGAAAGCUUUUAUUUUGUUCUCAUUUUUUAUGAUCAUUCCAAAAUAGCUUAAAUUUAUCCUACACAAUAAAACAAAGAAAAUCAUAAAAUCAAUUAUUUUUCCAAAAUAUCUUAAUAUAAUCAAAUUUCUUCAAUUUUUUUUAGAUUGGUGAAAUUUGAAAAUUUCCAAUAAUCCCAUGUAGCAUUGUAUGUAUUUUAAGUGUUCAUGCUUUCAUCUAUAAAUAAAACUAAGCUCUCAAUAGUUUUCUCUAACUUUUGAGUUUAUAGUUGAAAAUUUAUGUUAUAUACAUAUAAAAGAAAAAAGAAAAAGAAAUCAAUAAGUAAGAGGAAAGAGUCAAACUAACGGGAGUCGAGAUCCAGAUUCAAGCUUAACUAAAUAAAGCGGAAUUUAGCACUUAUAAGUGUGGAGGUCCUAAGUCAGACUUAUUAGCUAAUAUUCUUUUUCCUUGUCUCUUCUCUGAUCUUGAGGGAAUUCAAUGAUUAAAAACUUAUGCUAAACUCAAACACUUAUGAUGUUGAUGUACUCUUACAUAGAUUGAAAAAUAAUUAAAAAUUUUCCACUAACAAAGUAAAAACAACUUACAAAGUUUAUCAUAUGCUGCAGAAAAUCAACCUAAUUUAGCUACAAAUUGUAGGAGAAAUUAUCAUAAAGAGUGAGUUUCAUAGUACUUCCAUGGUAAUGAACCAUCUAAACCAUCUAAGCAUGCACAAAAAGGAUGCCCACUAAAGUUUCUAUUAUUUCAUAGCUUAGAUUUCAAUAGAAUUAAUCUCUACAAGUAUUAAAUUCACAAAGUCAUGCAAUUGUAUAUGCUUAAGUUUAGGAACAUUGAGCUGUACUGUUUGAAGUCAUGAUGUCCACUAUAUUAUAAUAUUCCAUCAUACAUGAAGAUAUCCCUAUAAUUUCUACUUCAUAUUAUGAGAUGAAUGAUGGAUAUGUUGUUUAGGCUUUGAAAAAACAUGGCCUGAAAGUGGAAGAAAAUUGCUUGUAAGGCCAUAGUGGAUCCCAUAACCCACCCUAUGUAUGCAACCAUUUCCUAUAAAAGCUUACUUCACCACCAACAUAAGGCAAAACCAAUGAACAAACACUAAAGAGACAGAGCAAGUUUUAGAUCAAUUGGUUUGAAAACAACAACAAUAACAUACAAAAGAUGUUGAUCUUCAUUGCUGAAAUUAAGGUUUUACAAUGAAUCUAAUUAAGAUACUAUAUUUUACUUACUUUGAACAUAAACAAGGGAAUUGCAUAACAUCAUCCUAAAAUGAUAAAUCACCACACAACAAUCAUUAAAAGAGUCCACAAUAAAAAUCCCAAAUAAAUAUUUUUUUUAAAAACCUUGCUCAUACCAUAGUACAUACCAUAUAGAAAGUCAGCAAUAACAUAGUGCAUGCCUCUAAAUUUUAUUGUUGUAGCCUUCCCAUGGUUUGCCAAAGGGCAGAAAGCCAGUGAUCUGAUGCUGUCAAAUUAUAUCAUUUGUUACAAUUAGGUUUGGUUCUAGAAUUAGCAGCUGACAAACAUAAGAUCAAAGAAACUAUGUUAUAAAGGACUAAUUAGUACUUACCUCUUGGUUAAUUCCAGAGUUUUGUAGACAAUUGAACAUGGAAUCGGGGUUCCAUUUGUUAAUAAUUGCUAAAGAUUCAUCAAUCAUAUCACCAGCAGCAACCUGUUGCAAAGAAGGGUUGAUCUUCUUGUUGUGGUGGUGCUGUUGGAUACUAGAUUCUUCACCUGUCUGAAAAGACCACCAUGAACUGAGUUUGGUCUCAUCAGUACUACAACAUAGCUUUUGAUUCCACAUGUUCUUUGCUUUGGUUCUUGCCUUUGCCCUUGCUCUUGCCUUUUCCCUUAAAUCCCUUGCAAGAGGGUGGAACUGGAAAGUGGUUUUUUUAACCGUUUUCUCUGUAGGUUUCCCUUUAGAGAUGGUACCUUCUAAAGCAGACACCACUUCACCCUCGGAAGUUGAAGAUGGACUCUUUGCAACAGCCGCCGCUUCCUCCGCCGCCGCCGCUGCAACGCUGUUGUUAUUAUUAUGGGAAACACG
rnacentral:lncRNA from 1 species